UACGUAGGUGGCAAGCGUUGUCCGGAAUUAUUGGGCGUAAAGCGCGCGCAGGCGGUCCUUUAAGUCUGAUGUGAAAGCCCACGGCUCAACCGUGGAGGGUCAUUGGAAACUGGGGGACUUGAGUGCAGGAGAGAAGAGUGGAAUUCCACGUGUAGCGGUGAAAUGCGUAGAGAUGUGGAGGAACACCAGUGGCGAAGGCGACUCUUUGGCCUGUAACUGACACUGAGGCGCGAAAGCUAGGGGAGCAAACAGG
rnacentral:rRNA from 1 species